rnacentral:misc_RNA from 1 species
UAGAGUUGUAAAACUCCCUAAAACCCAUGUGAACAUACCUGUUGCCUCGGCGGGCCUACCCUAUAGCUACUUGUAGCCACUGGGGAGUGACCGCCGAAGGACCAUUAAACUCUUUUAUCUCUGUAUCUCUGAGUAAAAAACAAAUAAGUUA